rnacentral:tRNA from 1 species
GAGAGAAGCUUGCUAGCAAUAAAGGUUGCUAACCUUAAUGCCCCAGGUUGAAUUCCAGAGUUCUCUCG